rnacentral:misc_RNA from 1 species
AAAAUGCGAUAAGUAAUGUGAAUUGCAGAAUUCAGUGAAUCAUCGAAUCUUUGAACGCACAUUGCGCCCGCCAGUAUUCUGGCGGGCAUGCCUGUCUGAGCGUCAUUUCAACCCUCGGGACCCCGUUCGCGGGACCCGGCGUUGGGGAUCAGCCCGAAGCCCCCCGGGGCGGGCGGCUGGCCCCGAAAUUUAGUGGCGGUCCCCCCAGCGACCUCCUCUGCGCAGUAGUAACUCACCUCGCAGCUGGACAGCGGGAGGGCCACGCCGUAAAACCCCCAACUUCUCAAAGGUUGACCUCAGAUCAGGUAGGAAUACCCGCUGAACUUAAGC